GAUGAACGCUGGCGGCGUGCCUAAUACAUGCAAGUCGAGCGAACAGACGAGGAGCUUGCUCCUCUGACGUUAGCGGCGGACGGGUGAGUAACACGUGGAUAACCUACCUAUAAGACUGGGAUAACUUCGGGAAACCGGAGCUAAUACCGGAUAAUAUAUUGAACCGCAUGGUUCAAUAGUGAAAGACGGUUUUGCUGUCACUUAUAGAUGGAUCCGCGCCGCAUUAGCUAGUUGGUAAGGUAACGGCUUACCAAGGCGACGAUGCGUAGCCGACCUGAGAGAGUGAUAGGCCACACGAGAACUGAGACACGGUCCAGACUCCUACGGGAGGCAGCAGUAGGGAAUCUUCCGCAAUGGGCGAAAGCCUGACGGAGCAACGCCGCGUGAGUGAUGAAGGUCUUCGGAUCGUAAAACUCUGUUAUUAGGGAAGAACAAAUGUGUAAGUAACUAUGCACGUCUUGACGGUACCUAAUCAGAAAGCCACGGCUAACUACGUG
rnacentral:rRNA from 1 species